GUGAUCGGGUAAGCAGGUUCAUAGAUUCACUUGAUCAAAGCAUCAGAAUCUGAUUAUGCCUCCUAUAAAGAGACCCUUUGAAGUGGAUCAGCACUCAGUUCCCAGUUAAGGAGCUAUGAGACCAUGUGUGGAAUUCCUUUGGAGCAUGAUGGAUUUCAUUCUGGAGCAUCAGGAAGCCUUCUAUGUCUCUAAAUGGAUGGAAGAAUCUCGCCUGUGAAGACAGUACAAAGAGGAGCUAAAGGAGCUAAAAUUCAUUUUUUCUUUUCUCUUUGACUCCACAACACUUUUGCUAUGAGUACUUUCUUCUCAGUGAGUAAAUCAUAUACUAGAAGGACUCUUUUCUUUAAAAAAGAGUCUGCUAGUUGUAAGAUCUGACAAACUUUGCAGUGGUAAAAGCUACCAUGAAGGCUGAAUGAGUGAAACUAAGUCAGAUUAAGAAGAUGGAAAAGUCAGCCUUUGAAAACAACUAUGAAGGCUUCUCCACGUUUGCCCACCUGCAGUCCCUUUGACGUACUUUCUGGGAUACGAAACACUUCUGUUUGCUUUUGAUUGGAAAUUUUCAAGAGGAGACAGACUUCUGCUUUGUCCGGGUUUUUGUACAUUAGUUUUGUCUCUUUUAUGUGACCUAUGAGGCUAGUGAAAACUAAUUAAAACUUCCAUAACCUUCUGUAGCUUCUUAAUCUUCUGAGUAUGCAUAUUUACACAAACAUUUUGUGUUAAAGUAUUUCUGAAAUUGUGAGAUUAGGAUAUCUAUGUGUGAAAUUAAUUGGAUGUUUCUGUACAUUCCCUGGCUCUGCUCUGUACUCAUCUCACCUGUCCUACCUUUUUGAUCUCCUGGAGCCAUAUUUCUAGCUAUCUCAAAGCAUGGUACAUAAACCACUUUAUGUGAAUGGUUUGAGGAUUCAUUUUCCCACUUGGAAUAUGGUUACAGCCCAUUUUUUCCAUACUGUAAGGUUGAUACAUCUAUAUUUUUCAGGAGAAAAGGUAAUGAUUUUACUGCUCUCUAGACAACGAUCUGCUGUUAUGACUGAUUAUCUCGCUUGCUAGCUCCAUAGUCUGUAUUUUAAAAUUCCCAGUACUGUGUAAGAAAUGAUUGUUCUCAAUUCUGUUUUUUCAUAGUCUUUUUUUAUUGGCUAUAACUAUAUAUGUAACAAUAGUAAUUAAACUCUAAUGAUUUGUUUAUUAUUACU
rnacentral:lncRNA from 7 species